GCUCAGGAUGAACGCCGGCGGUGUGCCUAAUACAUGCAAGUCGAACGCGUUGGCCCAACUGAUUGAUUGUGCUUGCACAUGAUUGACGUUGGUUUCCCAACGAGUGGCGGACGGGUGAGUAACACGUAGGCAACCUGCCCCGAAGCGGGGGACAACAUUUGGAAACAAGUGCUAAUACCGCAUAACAACUUUGACCGCCUGGUCAAAGCUUAAAAGAUGGUUUCGGCUAUCACUUCGGGAUGGGCCUGCGGCGCAUUAGCUUGUUGGUGGGGUAACGGCCUACCAAGGCGAUGAUGCGUAGCCGAGUUGAGAGACUGAUCGGCCACAAUGGGACUGAGACACGGCCCAUACUCCUACGGGAGGCAGCAGUAGGGAAUCUUCCACAAUGGGCGCAAGCCUGAUGGAGCAACACCGCGUGAGUGAAGAAGGGUUUCGGCUCGUAAAGCUCUGUUGUUGAAGAAGAAUGUGCAAGAGAGUAACUGUUCUUGUAUUGACGGUAUUCAACCAGAAAGUCACGGCUAACUACGUGCCAGCAGCCGCGGUAAUACGUAGGUGGCAAGCGUUAUCCGGAUUUAUUGGGCGUAAAGCGAGCGCAGGCGGUUUUCUAAGUCUGAUGUGAAAGCCUUCGGCUUAACCGAAGAAGUGCAUCGGAAACUGGAUGACUUGAGUGCAGAAGAGGGCAGUGGAACUCCAUGUGUAGCGGUGGAAUGCGUAGAUAUAUGGAAGAACACCAGUGGCGAAGGCGGCUGCCUGGUCUGUAACUGACGCUGAGGCUCGAAAGCAUGGGUAGCGAACAGGAUUAGAUACCCUGGUAGUCC
rnacentral:rRNA from 1 species